UACGGGGGGGGCAAGCGUUGUUCGGAAUUACUGGGCGUAAAGGGCGCGUAGGCGGUCCGCUAAGUUGGAUGUGAAAACUCUGGGCUUAACCCAGAGCCUGCAUUCAAAACUGACGGGCUAGAGUUCUGGAGGGGGUAGCGGAAUUCCUGGUGUAGCGGUGAAAUGCGUAGAUAUCAGGAGGAACACCGGUGGCGAAGGCGGCUACCUGGACAGAAACUGACGCUGAGGCGCGAAAGCUAGGGGAGCAAACAGG
rnacentral:rRNA from 1 species